rnacentral:rRNA from 1 species
CGUCCUGUGUGUACUGACGGACACAGACACGGAUAGACACGAACAGCCAUGGACGUCCUGUGUGUGCUGGUGGACAACCCACGGACGUCCUGUGUGUACUGAACAGACAGCCCAUGUGGGCCAAAAUCACCCGAACAGUCCACGGGAAGGGUCACCGUGCUGAGUCCAAGGACCAACGUGCUGAUAUUUGUACUGAUGGACAGCCACAAACGUCCUGUGUGUGCUGAUGGAGACACACAGACACACACGGACAGCCACAGACGUCCUGUGUGUGCUGACGGACACACAUGAACGUACUGUGUGUGUUGACGGACACCCAUGGACGUCCUGUCUGUACUGAACAGACAGCCCACGUGGGCCAAAAUCACCCGAACAGUCCACGGGAAGGGCUGAGUCCAAGAACCAGCGUGCUGAUAUGUGUGCUGAUGGACAGCCACAGACGUCCUAUGUGUGUUGACGGACACACACAGACCAGGGAUCAGCGGAUGUUGCUUUUAGGACUCCGCGGGCACCUUAUGAGAAAUCAAAGUUUUUGGGUUCCGGGGGGAGUAUGGUCGCAAGGCUGAAACUUAAAGGAAUUGACGGAACGGCACCACCAGGAGUGGAGCCUGCGGCUUAAUUUGACUCAACACGGGGAAACUUACCAGGUCCAGACAUAGUAUGGAUUGACAGACUGAGAGCUCUUUCUUGAUUCUAUGGGUGGUGGUGCAUGGCCGUUCUUAGUUGGUGGAGCGAUUUGUCUGGUUAAUUCCGUUAACGAAUGAGACCUCAGCCUGCUAACUAGCUACGUGGAGGCAUCCCUUCACGGUAGGCUUCUUAGAGGGACUAUGGCCAUUUUGGCCAAGGAAGUUUAAGGCAAUAACAGGUCUUUGAUGCCCUUAGAUGUUCUGGGCCGCACGUGCGCUACACUGAUGUAUUCAACGAGUUCACACCUUGGCCGACAGGCCCGGGUAAUCUUUGAAAUUUCAUCGUGAUGGGGAUAGAUCAUUACAAUUGUUGGUCUUCAAUGAGGAAUUCUUAGUAAGCAUGAGUAAUCAGCUCGCGUUGACUACGUCCCUUCCCUUUGUACACACCGCCCGUAGCUCCUACCGAUUGAAUGAUCUGGUGAAGUGUUCGGAUCGCGGCGACGUGGGUGGUUCGCCGUCUGCGACAUCGCGAGAAGUCCACUAAACCUUAUCAUUUAGAGGAAGGAGAAGUCGUAACAAGGUUUUUGUAGGUGAACCUGCGGAAG